rnacentral:rRNA from 1 species
UACGUAGGGUGCAAGCGUUGUCCGGAAUUAUUGGGCGUAAAGAGCUCGUAGGCGGUUUGUCGCGUCGAAUGUGAAAUCCCGGGGCUCAACCCCGGGUCUGCAUUCGAUACGGGCAGACUAGAGUUCGGUAGGGGAGUCUGGAAUUCCUGGUGUAGCGGUGAAAUGACGCAGAUAUCAGGAGGAACACCGGUGGCGAAGGCGGGACUCUGGGCCGAUACUGACGCUGGAGGAGCGAAAGCGUGGGGAGCAAACAGG